rnacentral:tRNA from 1 species
GCCUGGGUGGCUCUGUUGGUUGAGCAUAUGACUUCAGCUCAGGUCAUGAUCUUGCAGUUCACAAGUUCGAGCCCUGUGUCAGGCA